rnacentral:lncRNA from 1 species
GGGUGGGAGGGAAGUUGUUGGGGGGGGCAUUGUAAUCCAUAAGCUGUACUUUGGAAAUUUAUAUUCAUUAAAUAAAAGUUAAAAAAAAAAAGAUCAUUUAUGGGGCGAUUUUUAUAGGACUAGCCAUAUGUCUAUAUACUCAUCAUCAGUUGUCGUCACUUCCUCUGAUGUGCAGCCAAUCAGCUUUAGUGACAAACAACUUUGAGUUCCGCCCAUCUUACUUCCUCUGGGCGCCAUCAUCUUUGCCCCUCUCGCAGGGCCCUCUGGAGAGGAGGCUGCCGCCAUCAUCAUCGGCAGCCUGGUCCCUCUCCAUCUGGUUCCCAAUGUUCCUCUUGCUGGGGGGCUGUGGUGGCCGCGGGAGCUGCUCCAGGAUCCACUCCCCCUCCUUGCAUGACAGCAGUUUGCUCAUGGCGGCACUGUGCACACGCUCCAGCUCACAUCCCACUCCUCCAGCGCCUGCAGGCUGUAGAUGAAGUCCUCCUGCAGGUGCUGCAGCUGGCCCUGUGCCUCCUGGAGCCAGGCCCACUUCAUGUUGACCCCUCCUUGGCGCCGACAGCACCCCCCCCCCCACGCCCCGCAUCGUCCGCGUCGUCCGCGUCGUCCGCAUCGCCUGGUCUGGGGGCCAGAGCAGUUACCGCCGCACCUCCGUGGGGCCACUGUCCACCAUGGCGGAGGCCGGGGCCACGUGCGCGCGCAUCGGGCCCCUCCCUGCGCCGCCAUCCCUGGCCGACUGGCUCCACGUGCCCUGACUCGGCAGGUACCUUGUCUCCCACAGAGCUCCAGGCCAGAUUCACACCAGGCUCUCUCCCCAGCUGUAUCUCCAGUGGCACAGGUUGCUGCAGCCUGAUCUCACCUCAUUCUCCAAAGCUCUUCAUGGUUGAGAUCUUGUGUUGUGCCUGUGCAAGUGCUGCGUGUCUGCACCCUCUAUGUAGACUCAUGGGUUCCCCUUCUUUCUGCAGAAUUUCAUUAUGGUUUUCUCCCUAACUCCCCCUGAGAAUGCACUAUCUCCACUUUCGGGACGAAUCAUACAAUAGAAAGAGAAAAAAACUAUCUUCUCUAGCUAGAGUUGUAAGCUCUCUCCCUAUUCUACCAUCUUGUAAUCUCC